UACGUAGGGUGCAAGCGUUAAUCGGAAUUACUGGGCAUAAAGCGUGCGCAGGCGGUGAUGUAAGACAGGUGUGAAAUCCCCGGGCUUAACCUGGGAACUGCAUUUGUGACUGCAUCGCUGGAGUGCGGCAGAGGGGGAUGGAGUUCCGCGUGUAGCAGUGAAAUGCGUAGAUAUGCGGAGGAACACCGAUGGCGAAGGCAAUCCCCUGGGCCUGCACUGACGCUCAUGCACGAAAGCGUGGGGAGCAAACAGG
rnacentral:rRNA from 1 species